UCGAGCGGAUGAUGGGAGCUUGCUCCAUGAUUCAGCGGCGGACGGGUGAGUAAUGCCUAGGAAUCUGCCUGGUAGUGGGGGACAACGUUUCGAAAGGAACGCUAAUACCGCAUACGUCCUACGGGAGAAAGCAGGGGACCUUCGGGCCUUGCGCUAUCAGAUGAGCCUAGGUCGGAUUAGCUAGUUGGUGGGGUAAAGGCCUACCAAGGCGACGAUCCGUAACUGGUCUGAGAGGAUGAUCAGUCACACUGGAACUGAGACACGGUCCAGACUCCUACGGGAGGCAGCAGUGGGGAAUAUUGGACAAUGGGCGAAAGCCUGAUCCAGCCAUGCCGCGUGUGUGAAGAAGGUCUUCGGAUUGUAAAGCACUUUAAGUUGGGAGGAAGGGCAGUAAGUUAAUACCUUGCUGUUUUGACGUUACCAACAGAAUAAGCACCGGCUAACUUCGUGCCAGCAGCCGCGGUAAUACGAAGGGUGCAAGCGUUAAUCGGAAUUACUGGGCGUAAAGCGCGCGUAGGUGGUUUGGUAAGAUGGAUGUGAAAUCCCCGGGCUCAACCUGGGAACUGCAUCCAUAACUGCCUGACUAGAGUACGGUAGAGGGUGGUGGAAUUUCCUGUGUAGCGGUG
rnacentral:rRNA from 1 species